UACGGGGGGAGCAAGCGUUGUUCGGAUUUACUGGGCGUAAAGGGCGCGUAGGCGGUCAGCACAAGUCAGUUGUGAAAUCUCCGGGCUUAACUCGGAAAGGUCAACUGAUACUGUGCGACUAGAGUGCGGAAGGGGCAACUGGAAUUCUCGGUGUAGCGGUGAAAUGCGUAGAUAUCGAGAGGAAGACCAGCGGCGAAGGCGAGUUCCUGGACAGUUACUGACGCUGAGGCACGAAGGCCAGGGGAGCAAACGGG
rnacentral:rRNA from 1 species